GCUAGUCGAGCGCUUCCUAGCCAAUUUGGGAGCGCGGCACACAGCUCAGUAACACGUGGCUAACCUGCCCUUGGGACCAAAAUACCCCCGGGAAACUGGGGCUAAUUCUCGAUAGGUGAAGAACUCUGGAAUGAGUCUUCGCUUAAAAGAGGCUGGGGUUAUGCUCUCCGGUUUCGCCCAAGGAUGGGGCCGCGACCGAUCAGGUUGUUGGUGAGGUAAUGGCUCACCAAGCCUUUUACCGGUGCGGGCCGUGAGAGCGGGAGCCCGGAGAUGGGCACUGAGACAAGGGCCCAGGCCCUACGGGGCGCAGCAGUCGCGAAAACUUUGCAAUAAGCGAAAGCUUGACAGGGCUAUCCCGAGUGCCAUCCGCUGAGGAAGGCUUUUACCCAGUCUAGAACGCUGGGGGAAUAAGGAGAGGGCAAGUCUGGUGUCAGCCGCCGCGGUAAUACCAGCUCUCCGAGUGGUGUGGAUGUUUAUUGGGCCUAAAGCAUCCGUAGCUGGCUAGGUUAGUCCCCUGUUAAAUCCACCGAAUUAAUCGUUGGAUUGCGGGGGAUACUGCUUGUCUAUGGGACGAGAGAGGCAAACUGUAUUUCCGGGGAAAGGUCGAAAUCCUAUAAUCCCGGAAAUACCACCAUCGACAAAGGCUGUCUGCUAGAACGCGCCCGACAGGGACGGAUAAAAUCUGUGGAGAGCGAACCGGAUUAGAUACCCGGGUAGUCCCAGCUGUAAACGAUGCAGACUA
rnacentral:rRNA from 1 species